CUUAGUGAAGCUUCGGAAAGAAGGCUUAGAUGCUAAUGAGAAGAUCAAGAGAUAUAUGUGUGUCUAGUUAUUCAUCUCAAGCAGUGAGACAAGCCCUUGUGAAAUAUCUUAUGGUGGAUCUCGCUUGGCUUUGCAAUCACCCAGGCUCUUAUUCUCUCUUGUUAUUCACUUCCCUAUUCUAUAUAUGCAGCUAGCCACAGGUAAUCAUGAGAGGAGACAUCCGUUUCAUGUUCUUAGUCUUAAGAGUUCUUCUUUUAGGAAUUCUAUUGAGUUUUUUAACUAUAGUUUCUGUAAUGUUGUAUCUAGGAUAUAGAGAUGUGAGAUAUCAGUUCUAGAAACUCAGGCAUUGUAAUUGUUUUCUAAUUGGGAGAUUUGAAGCGCAAAUUUUGUUAUUGAUGA